rnacentral:rRNA from 1 species
UACGAAGGGGGCUAGCGUUGCUCGGAAUUACUGGGCGUAAAGCGUGUGUAGGCGGCCAAGCAAGUCGGAUGUGAAAGCCCAGGGCUCAACCCUGGAAGUGCACUCGAUACUGCCUGGCUUGAGUAUCGGAGAGGUUGGUGGAAUUCUCGGUGUAGAGGUGAAAUUCGUAGAUAUCGAGAGGAACACCGGUGGCGAAGGCGGCCAACUGGACGAAUACUGACGCUGAGACACGAAAGCGUGGGGAGCAAACAGG